GCUUUCAUAGCUCAAUGGAUAGAGCGCUCGCCUCCUAAGCGAGAGGUUGACAGUUCGAGUCUGUCUGGAAGCAC
rnacentral:tRNA from 2 species